rnacentral:tRNA from 1 species
GUGGUUGUGGCUCAGAGGUAGAGUGCUCACCUAGCAUGUGUGAGGCAUUGGGUUUGAUCCUCAGCACCACG